GCACCUGGCCUUUAAAUGUUGAAAAAAGUGAGAAGGAGCAUUCAUAGUUAAGAGCAUGGGAUCUGGAGUCGAACUCAUGUCACUUAUUAACCUCGUGUGCCUGAAUAAGUUACUUAACUUCCUUCUGCCUUCGUUUUUCUCAUCUAUAACACUCCUUAAGAGCUGUUAUGAGGAUCGAACGAGUAAAUGCUUGUAAAAUGCUUGGAACGGGUCUGGCAUAUAGUAAGCACUAUAAAUGUUAAUAAAAACAGUAAUAAAAGCCAAGGACUUUUGGGAGGGACAGAAACUUGGGAAAGGUCGAAGUUCUUCUCUCACAUUUCUUGGGAGUAGAAAAUAAGAUUAAUUGGUAGCUCUUGGAGAGACUGGACUGGUUCUAAAUUUUGGAGCAGCUAGAUGGAGUAUUAUCAGAGUACAGGCUUCCUGGAGAGCAAAAUACAAAAGAUGCCAAGGAGCAAAACUGAAUCUCGAAAGAUAAAUGAAGUUUACCAGGAAAAGAAAACUGGGAUGAGGAGAGGAUUUACGAAGUAGCAUAUGCUAAACGAGAGACAUGAGAAAACAUGAUGAUCAGGGAUGUCAUGUAGACUGAAGACUUUGAUACUAAGAGGCAUUUUCACAAUUUUAUCCUGAAAGCAUAGAGAAAACAAAUCAACUUGUCAUUUUCAAAAACUUACCCUGGCUGUAAUCUCAAUAAAAGGACAUCUUUUAAAGUCAAGCUUUAUGAAAAAUUUA
rnacentral:lncRNA from 1 species